GACGAACGCUGGCGGCGUGCUUAACACAUGCAAGUCGAACGGAAAGGCCCUGCCUUUGUGGGGUGCUCGAGUGGCGAACGGGUGAGUAACACGUGAGUAACCUGCUCUUGACUUUGGGAUAACUUCAGGAAACUGGGGCUAAUACCGGAUAUGAUCUCCCGCUGCAUGGUGGGGGUUGGAAAGUUUCGGUGGUUGGGGAUGGACUCGCGGCUUAUCAGCUUGUUGGUGGGGUAGUGGCUUACCAAGGCCUUGACGGGUAGCCGGCCUGAGAGGGUGACCGGCCACAUUGGGCCUAAGAUACGGCGCAGUAUGCUACGUGAGGCAACAGUCGGAAAUAUUGCACAAUGGGCCGGAGCCUGAGUCAGCAACGCCCCGUGCGUGAUGACGGCCUUCGGGUUGUAAACCGCGUUCGCCUGUGACGAAGCGUGAGUGACGGUAAUGGGUAAAGAAGCCCCGGCUAACUACGUG
rnacentral:rRNA from 1 species